UACAGAGGGUGCGAGCGUUGUCCGGAAUCACUGGGCGUAAAGGGCGCGUAGGGGGCGACCCAAGUCGAUGGUGAAAGCUCGCCGCUCAACGGCGAGUCGGCCACCGAUACUGGGUUGCUGGAGCACUGUAGAGGCAGAUGGAAUUCCGGGUGUAGCGGUGGAAUGCGUAGAGAUCCGGAAGAACACCGGUGGCGAAGGCGGUCUGCUGGGCAGUUGCUGACACUGAGGCGCGACAGCGUGGGGAGCAAACAGG
rnacentral:rRNA from 1 species